rnacentral:rRNA from 1 species
CCGUGAUCCAGCCAUGCCGCGUGCUGCAUGAAGAAGGCCUUCGGGUUGUAAAGGACUUCUCUGUCCGGGAGCAAAUCCUAGUGGUUAAUAACCGCUGGGUCUGAGAGUACCGGAAGAAUAAGCACCGGCUAACUACGUGCCAGCAGCCGCGGUAAUACGUAGGGUGCAAGCGUUAAUCGGAAUUACUGGGCGUAAAGCGUGCGCAGGCGGUUGUGCAAGUCUGAUGUGAAAGCCCCGGGGCUCAACCUGGGAACGGCAUUGGAGACUGCACGGACUAGAGUGCGUCAGAGGGGGGGUAAGAAUCCCGCGGUGUAGCAGUGAAAUGCCGUAGAAGAUGGCGGGAGGAAUACCGGAUGGCCAAAGCAGCCCCCUGGGGAUGACCCCGGACGCUCAUGCCACAAAGCGUGGGGGAGCAAACGGGAUUAAUACCCCGGGUAUCCCCCCCCCUAACCAUGUCACUACUGUGGGGGUUUGAACCCUGGGAGGUACCUAACCCAAGAUUUAACCCUGGGGGA